rnacentral:misc_RNA from 1 species
GUGCUGAAUAUGGAUUUGGAGACAGAGAAUAGAAUUGCGACAAUUCUUUUGAAAGAGGCUGCAGAAUUGCGGCGGCAAGCACAGUCAGAGGGUGCACUUUCUUAUCUUCAUCGGCCUAAUGUCAGGGGGAGACCAAAUUCACGGUUUUUAACAGCAACUGUUCUUGGAGUACAACAAGCUAACCGGGCUGUUGAAGUAAAUGAGAUGUGGAAGUUAAGGCAGAAAGAGGUGGAGCUUGAAAACAGGAUCAUGGGAAGGUCGGCAGAUAAGAACGGUGAUACAAAGUGUCAUAAUUUUAGUGUCUCGGAAAGGAGGUCACGUGAGAGAUAUGAUGCUGAUUCUGGCUCAAGGGGAUCAAAGAAAAGGAAGAUACAAGAUUCUCAUUCAAGUGAAGAUGAAGGAUUGAGAGAUGCUGAAAUUGAGGAAUUUCUACAUUCGAGGGUCAAGCGAGGAAGGGGGACUGUUGGGUCACGGAUGGAUGAAGCUGGUCCUUACCUUCCUUCUAGUCCAGAUCCCAGAGAAAAAGAGUCAGCAAGUCCUGAUGUGAAACUAAGCAAAGGUAGUGGGUAUCAUGUUGUCGUUGGGCCAGAGAAGCCCGUCUGGCUGAAUUCCCCUGGUUCUUUAGAAAAUGAAUCUCUGUCAGAUGAUAAUAGAAAGGCCCCAAAGAAGGCUAAAUCCAGUAAGCACCAUGACCACUGUAGGAAACAUAGAUCAAAAAAGAAGUCUAAGGACAGGGAGCAUAAAAGUAGGAGAAGAGAGGAGAAAAGACUCAAACGUCAUAGGUAGAUAGUAUUCCCUUAGCGUGGUAUAUGAUAACUUAUCCGGUCCUUGUUGAUUCUUAAGUUCGUUGAGAUGUUAAACGCCACUACUUUUGCUCCUGCUUCAUGGAAGUUCCAUUUGUUGUGUACUUUUGUAUAUUUUGCACAUUUCUCCUGUAAAGAUUACCU